CCACAUGGUAUCUGAGCCACCGGUUCUAACCUAAAGCCGGCAGGCCAAUGGCAGAAAAAACCACCAGUAGUCAAAACUCAGCAAAUUUUGAGUCUAGUAUAAAAGAAACAAAGUUCAACCCAACCAUGAGUUCGUUUGGAUCGGACAAUUCUACCUUCCAACUCUCUAUAGAAAAACUCAAUGGCAGAAAUUACAGGAAAUGAGCACAAUCGAUUAAAUUGGUCAUUGACGGGAAAGGUAAAACUGGAUACCUUACUGAGAAGCAAAACAGCCUACGGACGAAAAUCUUCAAAAGAGGUGGAAAUCUGAAAACUCUAUGGUUAUGGCCUGGCUUAUUAACUCAAUGAAGCCUUCAAUUGGUAAAACUUACCUCUUCAUGCCCACUGCUCGAGAUAUUUGGGAGGCAGUUCGUGAGAUGUACUCCGAUGCCGAGGAUUCAUCUCAAAUUUUUGAAAUUAAAACUAAGCUAUGGCAAUUGAAGUAGGGAGAAAGAGAUCUGACGGAGUACUACAUGGAAAUGACAACCUUGUGGCAAGAAUUGGAUCUCUGCGUCGAAGAAGAGUGGGAUUGCGCGAAGGACAGAACCCGGUACAAGAAACAGUUGGAGAAUGAACGCGUCUACGAGUUUUUGGCAGGAUUAAACAGAGAACUAGACGACGUGCAUGGAAGAAUUCUUGGUCGUCGUCCUCUACCAUCACCGCGUGAAGUGUUCGUCGAAGUCAGACGUGAAGAAAGCCGACGACUAAUAAUGUUGAAGAGGGAGGUUGGGCCGGCUGGGAAUUCAAUGUCGGCCCUUACUUCUGUCAAUUUAAAUGGGCCAGUUAGUGGAAUUGGAUUUGGGUCCAUUCAUGAUACAAAUGGAACUGGCCCGGAAGGUAUUGCAACCAAUGUUAAAAGGAUGCGCCUAAAAUGGUUGGGCCCAACAGAUCAAAUAAAAAAUUUAAAGGAAUAAAAUUAGGACUAGGUCCAAAACAG
rnacentral:lncRNA from 1 species